UGCGCUCCCGGACCCUCCCUCCCCAGCCCGCGCCUCACUGGAGCUCCGGCGGCUGCUGAGGCGCAGCAGCGGCUUGGACACCGGCUCCGGUUCCUCUUCUUCGUCCUCCCCGGCGCUCAGCUCCGCGGGUCCAGAGCCCGACAGACGCAGCUCCAGGGGGUUCUCCCGAUCCUAGACCCGGGGCGGGCCGUGUCGAAGGGUCUGUGUCCCCUCCAUGGAGCCAGGGUUCUGGGUUAGGGGAGGAGGAAAUAAAGCUACAUCCAGAUGCCACCUCUACCCACUCUCCACACCCUUCUUAUACUUGGCUGAUUGUUCUGAUCUUCUGAGAGCCCCAGAGAGAAAACACACUACCUUGAGGUUCAUCAGGGGAAGGAAGAGCUUGAGGGGACAGUGGAGAAGCAGGAGAGCUUGCAUCGAGAGCCACUGCGAGUAGCUGCUGUUAUGACAUGGCCAUUUCAUUCUCCACAACAAGAGAAGCAGCCGCGGCUUCAGU
rnacentral:sRNA from 1 species